AGUCAUAUGCUUGUCUCAAAGAUUAAGCCAUGCAUGUCUCAGUACAAGCCACAUUAAGGUGAAACCGCGAAAGGCUCAUUAAAUCAGUUAUGGUUCCUUAGAUCGUACCCACACUUACUUGGAUAACUGUGGUAAUUCUAGAGCUAAUACAUGCAAACAGAGCUCCGACCGGAGACGGGAGGAGUGCUUUUAUUAGAUCAAAACCAAUCGGCGGCGGGCGCGUUCGCGCGUCCGUUCGCCGCUCAACCUGGUGACUCUGAAUAACUUUCGGCUGAUCGCACGGUCUCGCACCGGCGACGCAUCUUUCAAAUGUCUGCCUUAUCAACUGUCGAUGGUAGGUUCUGCGCCUACCAUGGUCGUAACGGGUAACGGGGAAUCAGGGUUCGAUUCCGGAGAGGGAGCCUGAGAAACGGCUACCACAUCCAAGGAAGGCAGCAGGCGCGCAAAUUACCCACUCCCGGCACGGGGAGGUAGUGACGAAAAAUAACGAUACGGGACUCAUCCGAGGCCCCGUAAUCGGAAUGAGUACACUUUAAAUCCUUUAACAAGGUCAAUUGGAGGGCAAGUCUGGUGCCAGCAGCCGCGGUAAUUCCAGCUCCAAUAGCGUA
rnacentral:rRNA from 1 species